UUGUGACGUGAAAGUGAUUGUGGGCUGCCUAUGUCCUGGACAUUGAUACUGCAGGGAAGGAUACCGAAAGCCUUUUUCCCCAUGUAUGGAAGGUCUGCUCCUGUCCUUGUCAAUCCCUGGUGGUUUGGAACA